UCCUGUCCUGGCCCUGCCAUGGCUCUCAGGCUUCUCUGCUAUGUGGCCCUUUGUCUCCUUGGAGUAGGUCACAUGGGUGCCAUGGUCACCCAGGAGCCAAGAUACCAGGUUACUAGGAAAGGAAAAACAGUCACCCUGGGUUGUUCUCAGAAUCUGAGUCAUGAGUACAUGUACUGGUACCAACAGAAGCCAAGCCAACCCCCAAAGCUGCUGUUUUACUACUAUGAUAAAAACUUUAACAAUGAAACAGACACCUCCGACAACUUCCAAUCCAGCCGGCCUAACACUUCCUUCUGUUCUCUUAGCAUCCGCUCCCCAGGCGUGGGGGACUCAGCAGUGUAUCUCUGUGCCAGCAAAAGAGACACAGAGCUAAAGCACUGCCUCCCCACUGUGCAUAAACCUCUCUGUUUCCCAGAUCCAAGAGCCUUCUUAGACCUCCUUCCCCUCCUUCAACAACAGUAG